AGCCAGCAGCCGCGGUAAUACGUAGGUGGCAAGCGUUGUCCGGAAUUACUGGGCGUAAAGGGCGUGUAGGCGGCUAUUUAAGUCAGAUGUGAAAGCCCUGGGCUUAACCCAGGAACUGCAUUUGAGACUGGAUGGCUUGAGGAUCGGAGAGGGCAGUGGAAUUCCCAGUGUAGCGGUGAAAUGCGUAGAUAUUGGGAGGAACACCAGUGGCGAAGGCGACUGCCUGGACGACACCUGACGCUGAGGCGCGAAAGCUAGGGGAGCAAACGGGAUUAGAUACCCCGGUAGUCCUAGCCGUAAACGAUGGGUACUAGGUGUGGGAGGUAUCGACCCCUUCCGUGCCGCAGUUAACACAAUAAGUACCCCGCCUGGGGAGUACGGCCGCAAGGUUGAAACUCAAAGGAAUUGACGGGGGCCCGCACAAGCC
rnacentral:rRNA from 1 species